GCCUGGAUGGCUCAGUUGGUUAAGCAUCUGACUUCAGCUCAGGUCAUGAUCUCACAGUUUGUGAGUUUGAGCCCCAUGUCGGGCU
rnacentral:tRNA from 1 species